UAGUGUUUUGCAGUUCAUGGAAAUUAAAAAAUAAAAAUAAAAAAAAUAAAAAAAUUAUGCUAAACCGCCAUCUCAACUGGCGGUUUUGUCCGUGUACAAUACCAAACCUGCUGCCUUCAUUUUUCAAUUUCUCCCAUUUGUAUGCUGCUGCUGUCGGUUUUCUUAAAAAAAAAAAAUUUCUACACUUCUCAUUUACUUCAUAUUCACAAUUCCUCUCAUUUAACUAAAUCAAUCAACUACAUUGCCAUCUUCUCCUUCAUUACUUGUUCAUUAUCAUCUUCAUUUAAGGAUACAACUACGCGAUAAGCCCUUCUAGUCAACUGCAGUGAAACGGUCUCAACUUCUCAAAGCAACAUUGUCGUUUGACUACAGAUCGGAACCGGACGGGAACGAUGGGUUAGCGGUGUUGAAUAGCGUUCCAAGGAUGUAUAUUGAGCUAAGCACGUAGGAAUUUGCAGUUUUGUAUUAGGUUUUUGGAUAAAUGCAUAUUAGCCUUGGUUGUGUUGGUUGAAUUGGAAUUUAAGUGAAUUGUAUGAUUACUUGUGUUUUAGUUACA